UCUUUGUAUGUAUGUCUGCUGUCCAAGAGAGGGUGCAGUGAGCACUGAUUCCUCAGGGCAUGUGUUGGGCUUAUCUUUGUUGGCCUUGUCCAGGUCGUUCUGUAAGUUUUGUCCCCUACACCACUCUCAUCAAUAGGAAUCUUCACGAUUUCACUGCAGAUGGGGCUCUGUAUAUUCUAAACCUCUCUCUGUUUUGGGAGCUCCCCUGUCCCCUCCACCAGUCCACCAAUGUCUUUGUAUGUAUGUCUGCUGUCUCAGAGAGGGUGCAGUGAGCACUGAAUCCACACUGAUUUGCUUCGUUGUUUAAACAUGGCCUGGCCUGUUACACGUGGAAAAUGCAGUAACUAGAUAAGCAUGUGGGACUUUUUUCAGUCAGCUUGGCUCAACAUAAAGACUAGAUAUUAGGUGACCAGGUGGCCAUGGCUCUCUAUGAAGCUCCGUAAUUGUCUCUUUUUGUGGUUUUACGAGGGUUUACUUGUAUGUGCAACAAAGCUACUGUAAGUAAUUUGCUUGUGGACUAUUAAAGUAUGUCGAGGUCUAA